rnacentral:rRNA from 1 species
GUAAGGAAUAUUGGUCAAUGGACGAAAGUCUGAACCAGCUAUGCCGCGUGGAGGAUGAAGGCCCUCUGGGUUGUAAACUUCUUUUAUAUGGGACGAAAAAAGGCUUUUCUAAGUCGUCUGACGGUACCAUAUGAAUAAGCACCGGCUAACUCCGUGCCAGCAGCCGCGGUAAUACGGAGGGUGCAAGCGUUAUCCGGAUUCACUGGGUUUAAAGGGUGCGUAGGUGGGUUGGUAAGUCAGUGGUGAAAUCUCCGAGCUUAACUUGGAAACUGCCAUUGAUACUAUCAGUCUUGAAUAUUGUGGAGGUUAGCGGAAUAUGUCAUGUAGCGGUGAAAUGCUUAGAUAUGACAUAGAACACCAAUUGCGAAGGCAGCUGGCUACACAUAUAUUGACACUGAGGCACGAAAGCGUGGGGAUCAAACAGGAUUAGAAACCCGUGUAGUCC